rnacentral:rRNA from 1 species
UACGUAGGGUGCAAGCGUUAAUCGGAAUUACUGGGCGUAAAGCGUGCGCAGGCGGUGAUGUAAGACAGAUGUGAAAUCCCUCGGCUUAACCGGGGAACUGCGUCUGAUACUGGAUGGCUUGAGUUUGGGAGAGGGACGCGGAAUUCCAGGUGUAGCGGUGAAAUGCGUAGAUAUGUGGAGGAAUACCGAUGGCGAAGGCAGCCCCCUGGGAUAACACUGACGCUCAUGCACGAAAGCGUGGGGAGCAAACAGG